GUGCAAUCACACCUCCCUGCUGUCCCACCACGUUCUGUGCAAGGACUCAGAGAAUCCCUCACAGGACAUUGACUUUAAGCCUUCGUUCUGCCCCUGGAGCUCAAUUCUGCUGGCUGCAGCCCCCCACAUUCACUGCAUGGAUUCCCAGCCAUCGGGCUCUCCAUGCAGGCACUAUGGCCAGAGGGUUGUGCUUGUUGUGGGUGGGAUUUGGGGACAGUUCUUCCUAAAACAGGGCAAGGAGAAAAAAAUAGAGCAUUUCUACUUGUCUGUCUUUGCAGUGUCAGCUCGUAUGCUAUGACCGUGAGACAAAGGAGCAUUUGGCUGUGCAAGGAAUAUGGGGACUUUAGGUUUCAUUGCACACUUCUGGCAAAUGCAACAAAUGCCAUGUGCUUACAUGUUUAUUGUUUGUAACUCUUCAUGUAUUGCAAAAGGAACCGUGCACUGACAUAAUGGCAGCAAGCAGAGCAUCAGCAAGCAGAGCAUCAGCAAUGCAGAGCCGUGGCUUCCCUCCUUCUCCAGUUCUGCUGAAGCAUCUUUCAAAAUCCACAUUAAAGCCCGAAAGCUGCACACGGGAUGGGAGAUCAUGUGGGAAAGAUCAAAGGGAGAGGUAGGAGAAAAGAAUUAUGCCCAAGCCGCACUGUUCCUCGUGAAUUACCUGUGAAAUGUCAGAGAGAGAAAUACAGACCCCACUGGUUUUUAGUGCAGUUUGGCCUUAAAAGUUGGAAAAUCUCUUUUAAAGCGCUUUGCCCUGCGGAAUAUCCAUGAAUGGAAAACACACCCGAACAACUGGAGGCCAAUUCGGACCCUCUGUGCAUGGGGUGCCCCGAGCUCUGCCCCCAGCCCUCCCCACCCCAGCCCCAAGCACUCCAUCCAGGUGCUCCAAAGGGGGAACCCUGGGGGAAGGGAGAGGGGAUCAAAUGAGACAAGCACACUUCGGGUCACUGAUUUACAGGUUCACCAUUUACUGGAUUCCAUGCGAAUAACCACGUGUUACUCUUUGCAGGUUCAGGCAUGAUACAAACACAGGUGCAUACGAAAACCAAAGUCCACCAAUCUUUUCUGGUUGUCGUUUUUCCCCACUUCUCUCUCUCCCCGGAGGGGCGCUCAGCUGAGCCGCAGCCUCCACGCAGAACGGUGUCCGUGCACUGAGGCAGCUCCUCGACCUCUGAUGCUUUGCAGCAUUUCUCACAUCAUUCAUCUUAAAAGCGGCGUCGGCAGCGAAGAGAGCGGCGUGUGAUGGCCGGGAGUGCUUUCAGCCUUUGGGGAGCAGCAGACGUUGUUCAGCGCCUUGCAGGAGCUGCUGGGGACCUCUCAGAUGCUGGCUUGGCUCGUCCUCUGCUGUGCCAUACAGAGCACCCAAGGAGCCCUUUGUGCCCCAUCUUCCGCAGUCACACAACAGCACGCACAGCCCAGGUGGGCUCAGCACGUUGGAUUUGAGAUGAGCAGCAGCACUCUGACAGUCCGUGCACGUUUUGCCAGAGCCCAUCCACCCCUCGGAGCCCACAAGUGGCACAAACCAUCCUGGGACGUUUGCUGCUGGAUGCUGUGCCUUACUUGAAGGACAGAAGCACACAUUACACAGCAAAGCCUACGCUCACCCUUACACGCCCUCCCUCCUCCUGACCACCACCCGCCAUCCAGACUGCAUAAGGAUACAAAGAACAUACACUUGAGAUACAGUGUCCCAUCCAUCAGCCCGCUCUGUUGGGACACUGCUGGAGGUCCCAGCACGCAGGAGCACUGGGAAUGAAGGGUUCUGUGCUGGGCACCACAGCCCCGGGGGAUCGGAGGGACAUUGGCUGCUGGAUGGGAAGAGCUGCUCAACAGCAACAACUGCAGCACGCGGUCUGAGCCUUCCGCUUGGCCUGCCUUGUGAUUCAGAGACUCAACUUUCAUCUUGAAUAUAUAUAUACACGUGUAAUUUUAAUUGGCUGUAACGUCCUCAGAUAGUAACACAGUUAACAGAGUUGGGUGAAGGGCACAAGAGAAAAGGAACUCAAAACAAUGGGGGAAAAUUUGUGUGACUUGCUAACAGAAAUAACAUGUUCAUAAUUACAUCUGGGGGACCUAAGAGGGUCCCAUGGCAUUUCAGUAACCUUACUCACAACCUGAACCCCCCCCCUAGGAGAAGAAAGUACACUGUGAAGCACUGCAGCCCUGCAGACAGCAGUUACUGCACUGCUGCAGGUGUGCUGAUUUCCUUCUGCUGCCUUUUCUCCUCAUACUCCUUCCGCCCACCCUACAAGAAACAGUCUCCAUCAUUGCAGAGGAGGAAAAGCCUCCUUGCACGUGCAAAGGAGUAACAGUGAGGCGGAGCACCUCACCCCAGCAGCACCGUGCAUGGUUGUAACACCAGAGUCCAUCACUCAGUUUGGGACCGGAGCAAAGGCCGGAACCAUUGCUUAACCUGAGCGCAUCCAACGCACCCAGCAGAUCAGCUCCUAAAUGCAUCACGUGAACAUGGAUAUACGCUCAGAUCGAGGUCAUAUAACGAGAUGCUCCGACUAACAUCUGAUGCACCGGAUUCCUGGGAGCGUGCCGUGGGCUCAGCAGCACUGCCAGCACCCUGCAGGUACCCGUCGUGCUGCCCUGCACACCUGCAGGCUGCCAGCUGGGGCUCGUGAGCACACACAGCCACUGCUUGCUGCUGCACAGCUCGUGCAGCCACGGGAGGGAGCGUUGGCAUGGCACGUAACUACAGCCAUGCUGCCAGACACCCGAAGCAAUGAGCACUGCGUUCUGCCCAGCUGGUACCACGGGCCUUGAUAUCAGAGCAGAGCACGCAGAGCAGAGGGCACAGGCCCCACCCCAGCUCUGCCACGUGCUGCUCGAUGGCAGGAAAAUCAGAGAGCAGGCAAUCCAGGUCCCCAAUUAACUCUAUAAAAAGAUCUCGGACAGCAGCGUUAAUUCACCGAGCCCAACUCAAAGUGAGUCAGCCCCAUUGCAACCAGCCCAAAAUGGCUCCUAGCUGAUAAUAAUGGACCGUUUUUAACACAUUCAGCUUUUAUGAAGCUACUGUUGUUAUUAUUUUUCUUUUUUAUUGGCUAACAUUGAAGAUUCCAGCCGCAUAUAUAUCCCCCCCCUCCUCUAAAGAGAGAAUCAUUUUGUGCAGAAAAGACGAUCCUGAAAAACAGCCCAAUUAAACGUGCAACUAUUUGUAACCUUUUGUGUUACUGCAUGGGGUGGUGGAGGAGCAGCAAGGCUGGAAAACACAGCAUCGUGGGGAAAUGUAGCGUAUUAUUAGAUUUGAUGAGAUCCAUUUUCCUGAUGGCUUCUGAAAGAUCUCCGUGCUAAUUAGCUAAGAAUACCGCUGAAUUAUUUAAUUAUCUCUACUUUUGUGCCGUGAAAUAUGUUGUCAUAUCACACACGCUAUCUCGCCGUUGCUGCUCACACUUAAUGAUGCCUUUAUAGUUCGUGAUUUCCUUUGUUCUCCCCCUGUAAGUGGGUUUUGGUGGUGCUGGGGAGGGGAGGGUGCAGAGAAGGACGCAAAGCAAAAAUAUCUGCUUCAGAAGAAAAUCUGACAUGUGGGAAAACCUCCAUGCACUUCUCUCGAGCUCCGGUCCCCUUUGCCACACGCAGAGCAUGCUUUGCCUCCACAGAAUGUCUCGGUGCUGCAGCGGGGCUGCACUCAUUGCUAACGCAAUGGGGAUUGCUUUCCAAAGGAAGAGCAAAGAAAGCAUCGCCUGGCAAAAUUUUAAAGCAGCAAGGAGCGUUUUUAACAAGGAAGAGGUAGAUUAUGGUAAUGACUCUGACUGGUAGGGUCCUUAAGCAUUACUAAUUAGCAUUUAUUGCCUGGAUUAUUGAAACAAUGUGUGUGUUCCCAAGAGUGAAGAAGAACCGGGAUGCUCUUUCCUUCCGAGCGCUGGGAACGGGGCCGGGCAGCAGCGCUGUGCAGUUGGCAGUGGGUGAGCAGAGCUGCACGGUGCCAGCAGGAACCCACAGCCCCGCCAGCUGCUCCACCUCACAGCCGCGCUCCGCUCUGCUCCCAGGAAAGAAAAAAAAAAAACCCCAAAAUAAUAAUUAAAAAAUAGGGCAGCACAAAAGGAAAGCGGCCAUUAAAGCGCUCAACGCAUUUGGCAGGAGGAGCAGGUGAGCGUUUACCUGAUACUCUGCCUUCUGUUCCUACCGGGGCUGUGCGCAAACGGAUUAUGAAUAAACAUUUCAUCACGUUAAAGCACUGAGAAAUGAAAGAGUUAACAGCACUGACAGCAAGAGGUGCAGAAUUCUGCCAUUUGCAGCGAGCGCUCGGCUGCCUCGAGAUGACUUUGAGGCUGCAGUCAGAUUUCCUCCUAAGCUGCGCCUUCAUAGCAACAAAGAUUUAUAAGGAGAAUGAAGUUUUGAAUUAGAAAUCAAUUAGAAAUUAAUCGAUCAUCUAAUCAGCACUGGUCGCUACGCUCAGCUAUAGGAUCUCAGCUACAAUUUGGUGGCUGGCCCAAAAAAAUCCUUAUGCGCUUUGGAAAUGAUUCAGAAGGAAAAGACAGAGUUUCCUCCAGGUUUGGAGCCACGAGGCCAUGCAGCCUCACGUUAAAGCAAAAGGGCAGCGAUGGAAGAAAGGUGCAGAAAGCCUUGGAUUAUUUUUAUCCUCUAUGUCUUUUUACAGCCACCAAACCCGAGCGCCUUUCAACUUGGGAAAGCAAGUUCCAACUCAGCUGCAAGGAGGUCAGACUCCCAGAGCUGGAUGCUCCAGCUGCUGCUCAGACAGAACUCCCACAUAUCGGAGCUGUGCAAAACCGGAGGGUUGUUUUAUUUUUUUCUAAGUGCAAUAUUCCACAAAGACAGACGUUACUUUGUCCUCCGUGUCUCCCUUUAAUUAUCUGCAGGACGUGUUACACAGAAUACUUGGGAAUGUGUUAAAUUAAAUGUCAGGAUGCCAUAUUCCAUAUAUCCCUAACUGCAACGAGCCCCAGCCUGGCAUUUUGUAGAGCUGAAUAUGACCUUCGAUCCGCACCGAGCCCGAUUCCUUCUCUCUGUUAAUUCAACUCACGCCCAACACUUAUUUUUCUCUGCCAUUUUCCUUUUCAAACACAAAACUGCUUUUUGCCCACAGCUUGCUUUCAUUCUGGUUAAAACGCACCGGAAUGAAACCAGCACUGAAGGAACGGUGUCAGGCUGAGACGAGCUCUGCCUUUACCGCUACGGACACCACGCCAAAGCGAACCCCGAACACAACAUCCCUCCUUUUGUCUGCAGAAGGCAAAGAACGCCGCAGAAGCGCAGCGCUGAAGCGCAGCUCCCUGCCCAGCACUCCCUCCCGUCGGCUAUUAAUACCGCAGCUCCGUUCGGGGAACGCUGACAUUGGCGCAGCGCCCCGCGGAACCUGCGCUGGGGGCCGAGGGGCGAGAAAACGCCUUCCGUCUCACUCGUUCUGCCUGGAAAAGCAAAGGACGGGGUCCGGCUUCGUGACCUCCCUCCCUGUUUUAUCACCGUAUGGUUUCUUUACUCUCGGUUACCCCGAUCGUAUUAUUUUUUCCCCUUGCAGCAGCAAGGCCCGGAGCAGCCGCGCUGUCCCUUUAAGCCGCCAGCCCCUCUAAUUGAUGUGUCUGGGCGAGUCUAGACUGGUAGUGAUUGAACCCGCUCCCAAUUAUGUUCUUCACUGCGCCGGAGCUGAGCGCUGCGCGCCCGGCGGGGAGGGGAGCGGGCGCUGCCUCUGCAGCACGGAGAGCCCCCCCACCCCCCACUCCUCCUCCUCCUCCUCGGCGCCCCCCUCCCUUCCUCGGUGCUCCCCCUUUUCCUCAGCCCCCCCCCGGCCAUUGUUUUGCCGCAGCUCCGCGCAUCGCCCCCUCCGCAGCCGCGCAUCGCCCCGCGGCAGCGCGCAGACAAUAGCGCCGUACCGCCCCCGGGGGCUGCAACAAAGCGCGGCCCCGCGCUGCAAGCUGGGUUUCAAAUGGGCUCUGGUGGGGGAAAAAAUAAUUAAUAAUAAUAAUAAUAGUAAUAAUAGUAAAAGGGAAAGUAGUUUUUGUCUGUCUGUCUGUCCGUGCCCUGCGCGGGGAUGGGGUCAGCACAAAGGUGGGCGGGUUGCUGCGCGCUGCGCUCCGCUCCCUUUGCCCAGCAGGUAAUGGGACGCUCGGAUAGGUUUCUCGCUUCGAAAUUCGGGGUAACGUACAAACGCGGCUCAGUCGGCAUUGUUUUCAUAACGGUCAAUAAAAUUACAGCGUCAAUAGAAAGCAAAAAUACACAGCACCGAGAAGCGAGCAGAACCUUUUCCACUUCGAUCCCUAUUAAACAACGGUACCGUCGGGUGUGUGCGGAGCGCUGAGAGAACCCGACGUUGCACCAUCGAUUCAUUCUCGGUGCAUUGUGGUCGGAGUUAAAGCAUUUGCAUUCAAAUAUCAGACAGCAAUUCGGUGCCAUAACAAGGUACAGUAACUGCAUUACAAAUCGCCUUGCAGAACACAGAUAAGAAAUACAGUUCCAGCCAUAAUUAGUUUUACAGCAGCAUUAAAAAAAAAAAUAUCUAAUAAGGAAAACAGCAGCGGGGAACACUUUUAACAUUUCUCGUUUGACAUUUACAUCGCGUUGGGACUGAAAAACCAGGAAGCUGGACGUUCCAGAAAAGGACUACAACAAAAGUUCAGCGUUUGCUGGUCAUUUCUUUCAGUCAUUUCCAACCAGGGGUGCACGCAGCCAUUUUAUUCUUUAUUUUCGCUCUAACAAGCAGUGAGAUCCGACCCUUCUCCUGGCUGGAUAUUUUUCCUCCCCCCCCCCCUCUCUCCGAAGAGCACAUUUCUAAGAUUAAUCGUUCGGUUUUAAACUUGGAAGCAUGAGGCAUGCUGGGAUUUCAGCUGAGGUCAAGCACCAAUGUACCGAGCUGUUACUGUUACGCUCUCAGGGUACUCCGUGCUGCUCUCAAGGAGGAAAAUAGCAAGGAGAGAUGAUGCUGUGCGCCCGCACCGGCCUGCAGCAAGGCACAGCUCUCCCAGCAGGAAAACACGGCUCUGGCUAUUAAUACACCUCCGUAUGUAAAUAUAUAUACAUAUCUCGGGUUUAUUUACCCCCAUACAUAUUCAUACACACGUAUCGUCCGUGUGUGUCUCUAUACACACACCUCAAGAGCUGUAUUUCCAUGCAUCCAUCCCGCGUGUCUCUUAUCUACACACGCGUGGAUGUAAUAACGCCGUGUGUACACACAGACACCCCCGUACAGCAUCACUGCACAAUCAGCCCGUGAAUACACACACACACACACACAGACCGAGAGAAACCUCCGGCAUAACCAACGCCGUGUUAAUGCGAGGUUGGGAAGGUGAGCGGCCACCACUGCCCUGCCAUGAGGAGAGCUGCACUUUGCUUUGCUUCCCCCCCCCCCACCUCCUUUAAAAGGUCUAUGAAACAGCGCUGCAUGUGUGUGUAUAUUCUCGAUAUACCCGCAUAUACAUUUUAUAGAUAGAUAGAUAGAUUUAUAAAAAUAAAAUAAAGAUGUCAAAGCACAACUCACAGCUCCCAAGAGCCUAACCCGUGGAUUUAAAAGCUAAACAUCACAAGUUAGGGUCUCAGGGAUUGAGAGGGGCGCAACGAGCUACUCCUGGCAGAAACCGGGGAGCAAAAAUAAAAGGUAAAAAGGAGAGAGAGGGAAAGAAUAGCAGGCAAGUUCAAUUCCUGGCUCAAGAUUACAAAACAGGACACACAGGUGGAAGGAAAGAGCUUCUCUAAGGACCCUGUGUUGAGAGAAUACAUUCCAUUUUUAAUCGUUCGCACAAAAAAAUGACAAGGCGCGGCAGGUUCCUUACAGCUCCCACCAAGGUCGCUUGCGACAAAUGCAUUAAAUAACGAAGAGGAAGAAAGAAAGGGAAGUUCGGGGCAGUGACGGAAUUAUUUUCAUUGUUUCAACGAAAAGGAAUGCAGAAAUAAGAGCAGGAAUAUGCAGGCUCUCCCUGCAGCCGCCUGGCACAAAGCGUGCAGCAGCAUAAAGGAGCUGCCUCCCCGCCCCCUCCGCCAGCCCGCGGCCGGCGGGGAUGGAGAAAAACCCCGAGCCGCGAGAAAAUCAGGUAGAAACUCACCAUUUGGAAGCGGGGGAGGCUCCACUCUUCAGCGCCAAGAGCAGGGGGGAAAAGCUCGGGGGGCGGCGGGGGGGCCCCGGGCGGUGGGGCAGGGGAAGGGCAGCGCCGAGCCGAGCCGGACCGGGCUGCGUGCCCGCCGGGUUUUGACACCCGAGCGAGCGCGGGCGAGCUGUGCGAGUGCGAGCGUGCGGGAAUAUAUCAAGGAAAAGGGGGGAAAAGGAACCGAAUUCCUCCGCAGCUCCUCGCCCCGCCGCCCUCCUCCCUCCGCGCUCCCCACCGCCGUUGUUGUUAUUAUUAUGAUCGCUGCGAAGGGACGCGGCCGGGGGGGGUCCGCACGCCGCGGCCCUCUCCUCACCCCCCAGCAGCAGCCGGGGGCGGCCGGAGCGGGACCAGCCCUGCGCUGUCAGCGCUGCCGCAGCCCCGUUGCGGCCCGGGGGCUCCGGAGGGAAACCUGGAGAGAAACCCCGGGCAGGAGGGACCCCGCGCCCCGCACGCACCCGCACACACAAAGGGACUCCAUCCCGCACCGACUCCUCUCCGAGCACCUUGUGCAACCCCAGCCAAUGGAAAUUUACGCCGGCCAUAACCGAGAGCAGGAUUUCGUCCCCAGCUUGCCACCUCCUUCUCCGCUCUUCUCUCUUUCCCUCCCUCCCUUUCCUCCCUCUUCCCCCCCUUCCUCUCUCCCAACCCCCCCCUUCCACCCCCCCCACCCCCCCCCCCAAAUAAAUAAUAUGGAUCCGCACCCUCCACCCAUCUCUGGGACCGCUUUAGGCCCAGCGGCAUAACCGGGGAGAAGCCCAAACGUACCGGAGGGCCCGAGUUGAAAAAAUGCAAAAUAUCCGCGGCUCCUCAUCCGCCGCUGCCGAAAGCAGAAACCCCCCCCGGCCCCGCCGCUCCCCGCCCCGCAGCCGCCCCGCACGGCACCGGGCACCACCACCGCCCCAUCCUCACCCACCCCGUCCUUUUCUCACCUCGGGAGUCUGAGCCCAUUCACCAAAGUCCUUCCUCGUCCAGGCUCUCAAAAUCUUUUUUUUUUCCUUUUUUUUUUUUUUUUUUCUCCUCUUUCCUCCUUCUGGAUCAGCCAGUCCCGACAUCAUUAAACUACAGUCCUCCUCUUCCUCCUCCUUCCUUCUCCCCCCUUCUUAUUUUUUUUUGUUUUGUUUUGUUGUUUGUUUUUUUUUUUUUUUUAAUUUCGAAAAAGGGGGAGUGGAGGGGAGGGGGGGGCUGGGGGGGGGGGAGAGCAGACAUAGCUGCAUGAAGUGGCUGCCUUUUAGAAAGCACAUUUAAUCUUUACUGGCUCCCCUAGGCUUCGAUGAAGUAGAAGGGAAAGGAGAGGAGAGGAGAGGGGGAAAGAAAAAAUACAGGCAAGGGAGGCUGUUGAGGGACAGCAAGCAUCAGGCUCAAAUCAACGACCAGAUGAAAAUGUACUAGACCACACUGCCCCCUCUCUUCCUCUCGCUCUGUCUCCGUCUCUCUCACACACUCUCACUCCUGGAAAGCUUCAGUGUCUGGUUACAGACUCUUUUGGAUCCUUCCCCCCCCCUCCCCACCCUCGCCCUUUGCCAACUAUCCUAGAGAUUCCUUGCAUGCCUACUUAAAUCUUUAACAGAAUAAGGACCCGGCUCCCCCCGCCGCC
rnacentral:lncRNA from 1 species